AUGCAGAAGGAGAACGAGCAAACAAUGAACAACAUGGUAUUAAAGACAAAAAAACACCCAUCAUAUUGUGACUUCCUUCAACAUGUGCAUACUGUAUUUGAAAAAAUGACUCUGCUUCGACUAAUAUCUUAUUUCUUGACAUGUGUGCAGACCAAUCCUGUGACAAAAACAACCUACGACUACGAGGAAGACAUGGCUAUCAAGUACACGAGAGCCGUGUACACUGAGAUGAGGACUAGGAUGAGAAAAGCGAUGCUAUUUCGCGCAAAGCCUAUAGCAGAGCCCACUAAGUACCUUAUGUACUACCACAACAAGACUGGCCAUGAUGAUGAAGAAAGAUUUGCCUGGUCAAAGCAUGAAUUCCAGGUUGUAGCUAACCCUGAUAAUGAAAUAUACGAGUGUGAAUGCAAGCUAUGGACACACACAGAUGAGCGGAAAAACAAACUCAUUAAAUACCUAAACUAG
rnacentral:rRNA from 1 species